GGGUGGAGUCUUUUUUUAUGUCUGCUCCUCCUCUUUGCCCCAGGCCCCCUGAAUCCUCUGGGUGGCCCGGUGGGAGUUGGUGGAUUUUGGGGGGAAAAACU